rnacentral:rRNA from 1 species
GACGAACGCUGGCGGCGUGCUUAACACAUGCAAGCCGAACGGUAAGGCCCUUCGGGGUACACGAGUGGCGAACGGGUGAGUAACACGUGGGUGAUCUGCCCUGCACUUCGGGAUAAGCCUGGGAAACUGGGUCUAAUACCGGAUAGGACCACUGCCUGCAUGGGUGGUGGUGGAAAGCUUUUGCGGUGUGGGAUGGGCCCGCGGCCUAUCAGCUUGUUGGUGGGGUGAUGGCCUACCAAGGCGACGACGGGUAGCCGGCCUGAGAGGGUGACCGGCCACACUGGGACUGAGAUACGGCCCAGACUCCUACGGGAGGCAGCAGUGGGGAAUAUUGCACAAUGGGCGCAAGCCUGAUGCAGCGACGCCGCGUGAGGGAUGACGGCCUUCGGGUUGUAAACCUCUUCCAGCACCGACGAAGCGCAAGUGACGGUAGGUGCAGAAGAAGGACCGGCCAACUACGUGCCAGCCGCCGCAGUAA